GACGAACGCUGGCGGCGUGCUUAAAACAUGCAAGUCGGACGGAAAGGCCCUGCUUUUGUGGGGUGCUCGAGUGGCGAACGGGUGAGUAACACGUGAGUAACCUGCCCUUGACUUUGGGAUAACUUCAGGAAACUGGGGCUAAUACCGGAUAGGAGCUCCUGCUGCAUGGUGGGGGUUGGAAAGUUUCGGCGGUUGGGGAUGGACUCGCGGCUUAUCAGCUUGUUGGUGGGGUAGUGGCUUACCAAGGCUUUGACGGGUAGCCGGCCUGAGAGGGUGACCGGCCACAUUGGGACUGAGAUACGGCCCAGACUCCUACGGGAGGCAGCAGUGGGGAAUAUUGCACAAUGGGCGGAAGCCUGAUGCAGCAACGCCGCGUGCGGGAUGACGGCCUUCGGGUUGUAAACCGCUUUCGCCUGUGACGAAGCGUGAGUGACGGUAAUGGGUAAAGAAGCACCGGCUAACUACGU
rnacentral:rRNA from 1 species